GCUGAAAUAGCUCACUUGAGAGAGUGCUAGACUGUAGAUCUGAAGGGCCCUGGUUUGAUCCUAGGUUUCACCA